CGGAUUGGCAUGGGCGAAAGCCUGAUCAGCCUGCCGCGUGUGUGAAGAAGGCCUUUUGGUUGUAAAGCACUUUAAGCGAGGAGGAGGCUACUUAGAUUAAUACUCUAGGAUAGUGGACGUUACUCGCAGAAUAAGCACCGGCUAACUCUGUGCCAGCAGCCGCGGUAAUACAGAGGGUGCGAGCGUUAAUCGGAUUUACUGGGCGUAAAGCGUGCGUAGGCGGCUUCUUAAGUCGGAUGUGAAAUCCCUGAGCUUAACUUAGGAAUUGCAUUCGAUACUGGGAAGCUAGAGUAUGGGAGAGGAUGGUAGAAUUCCACGUGUAGCAGUGAAAUGCGUAGAGAUGUGGAGGAAUACCGAUGGCGAAGGCAGCCCCCUGGGCCAAUACUGACGCUCAUGCACGAAAGCGUGG
rnacentral:rRNA from 1 species